rnacentral:rRNA from 1 species
UAAUUGGAUUUCUGUUUUUAAAAUCGGGCGUAACCUCACGGUUUCUGUACCAGGUUUCUUAAAUGCAUCCUCAGGGUUCUGAUAUCUGGUAUUAAUUUAUCGGAUUUUUGGUCCUUGUCAUUUACUGUGAGCAAAAUUGAGUGUUCAAAGAAAGCUUAAGCCAUGAAUACAUUACCAUGGAAUAAUAAGAUGGGACCUUGGUCUAUUUUGAUGGUUUACGUUCCAAGGGAAUGAUUAAUAGGGAUAGUUGGGGGUAUUCGAAUUCUUUUGUCAGAGGUGACAUUCUUGGAUUUAUGGUACACGAACUACAGCGAAAGCAUUUACCCUAGAUGUUUUCAUUAAUCAAGAACUAAAGGUAGGGGAUCGAAGAUGAUUAGAUACCUUCGAAAUCUUAACCAUAAACUAUGCCGACUAGGGAUUGGUGGAAUAUCCCAAAGUUCCAUCAGCACCUUAUGAGAAAUCAAAGUCUUUGGGUUCCGGGGGGAGUAUGGUCGCAAGGCUGACACUUAAAGAAAUUGACGGAAGGGCACCUCCACGAGCGGAGCCUGCGGCUUACUUGACUCAACACGGGAAAACUUACCAGGUCCAGACAUAGUGAGGAUUGUCAGAUUGAGAGCUCUUUCUUGAUUCUGUGGGUGGUGGUGCAUGGCCGUUCUUACUUGGUGGAGUGAUUUGUCUGGUUUAUUCCGUUAACUAACGAUACCCCCGCCUG